rnacentral:rRNA from 1 species
CCCUUAGAUGUCCUGGGCCGCACGCGCGCUACACUGAUGCAUGCAACGAGUUUAUAACCUUGGCCUGAAAGGUCUGGGUAAUCUUUUGAACGAGCAUCGUGAUAGGGAUAGAUUAUUGCAAUUGUUAAUCUUGAACGAGGAAUUCCUAGUAAACGCGAGUCAUCAGCUCGCAUUGAUUACGUCCCUGCCCUUUGUACACACCGCCCGUCGCACCCACCGAUUGAAUGGUUCGGUGAAGAUCUCGGACUUCGAUAUUUAUUCUUUAUCGAGUUUAUAUUGUGGGAAGUUAUCUAAACCUCAUCAUUUAGAGGAAGGUGAAGUCGUAACA